GCCUACAUUAUUCAUUAAACUUCUAGUGGUGUACUGCUGAUUACGAUUUGGGUUCCAUUUUCAUAAAAUAAGUUGCUGGAUAAUUAGACUUGGUUGACAUGAUAUUCUGAUCCUAAGGAUAUUAUAUAUAUAUGCCUUUGAAAUUCAUGGCUUAGGAUCUAUGGAGUUCACCAUAUGACUCUUGGGACCCACGGGAUUCACCAGAUCAUCAAGUUGCACCUGGGAGCACUUAUCGUGCAGAAUCUGGAUGGGAGUGCGACUUCUACUUUGUUUGUGGUUGUGGUAUAAUAUUUCUUUCUAUUUCAUUGGUCUUUUCUUAUGGUUAUAGAUCUGAUAGAAGAAGAUGCAAUAAAUGAGAAAUGUUGCAUACAA